GUUCUGGCCCGCAGCUGCCCCUGCCCAGACGGCAGAAAUAGGGAACAUGGAAGGCACCAUCCUGCUGGCUAGAGGAGCAGCCCUGGGCUUGAGAAGACCAGCACAAAAUGAGGGUUGAUCCUUGAAUAGUCUAAACCCUCAGGAAUGAAAUACUGAAACAUAGACAAGCUGAAAUCUGACCUGGGAAAGAAUGGGAGAGUUGCAAUAUUCCUGGCACAUAGUGUCCAAAGCCCAGAGCAAACAGAGCUCUCACGGACCGGUGGAGCUCAGGCACUGCACCAAGGCCCUGAGGAGUGGGCUGAGCCCUGACCCAGUGUGCCGCUGGAGGACCCUCGCCAUUAUUGAAUGGUUGCCUUCUCCUCGCUUCUUCCCAAUUCGAGCCGAAUUGUGAUGGCAGCAACAUCCCUGGAAGUGGAGAUUUCUGUUCUAAACUCCUCAGGCUGACGAAGGUGGAUGAGCCUGGUUGACUUGUAAGGAAGAGCAGCAAGGAAAGGGAAGGACCCACAGUCCAUCACAUGAGUGUGUCGCCAGGCUGCACCUGCAAUGCUAAGGUCAUGUAUAUGGAGCUGGUGAGGAUUCCUGAUGGCGGGCAGUGACAGUGGUGGAAUAUGAGGGCAAAACUGACUCCUUCCCAGUGACAGAUUUUCCUUAGCAGAGCUGUGGAGUGUGACAAUGGUGUUUGUGUCCAAACUAUCAAACGCCAUUAUCACACUAAAUAGCUACUGUUAGGCAAUCCUUCCGCUCAAUAAGUGUCUUGGCAUCUGUUCAGUCUGGGCAAGAAGGUUUGUCAUUUACCAGUGCUCUAUACCAGUGCUCUCAACUUCUGAAUAAAGUCUGGCACUCUGUUGCUUAUAUGUCUGUCUCAA